rnacentral:rRNA from 1 species
UGAGUACGAGAUGCUACGGCAUCGAAGCAGUCUAUGUCAUACUUCCAAGAAAAGCUUGCAAUGUCAUAAACAAAUAAUGCCUGUACCAUAACCGACACAGGUGGGUAGGUAGAGUAUACUAAGGGGCGCGAGAUAACUCUCUCUAAGGAACUCGGCAAAAUGACUCCGUAACUUCGGGAGAAGGAGUGCCUUAUUUUUAUAAGGUUGCAAUAACAAGAUCCAAGCAACUGUUUACCAAAAACACAGGUCUCCGCUAAGUCGUAAGACGAUGUAUGGGGGCUGACGCCUGCCCAGUGCCAGAAGGUUAAAGAAGUUGGUUAGCAUUAGCGAAGCUGAUAACUGAAGCCCUGGUGAACGGCGGCCGUAACUAUAACGGUCCUAAGGUAGCGAAAUUCCUUGUCGGGUAAGUUCCGACCCGCACGAAAGGCGUAAUGAUUUGGAUACUGUCUCGGAGAGGGGCUCGGUGAAAUAGACUUGUCUGUGAAGAUGCGGACUACCUGCACCUGGACAGAAAGACCCUAUGAAGCUUUACUGUAACUUGAGAUUGAAAUUGGACUUUAUCUGCGCAGUAUAGGUGGCAGACGUUGAAAAUAUUCUUGCGGGAAUAUUGGAGUCAUCAGUGAGAUACCACUCUUAUAAUGUUAGAUUUCUAACUUUGUAUCAUUAUCUGGUCAAAGAACAGUUUCAGGCGGGCAGUUUGACUGGGGCGGUCGCCUCCCAAACGGUAACGGAGGCGCACAAAGGUUUCCUCUGAACGUGUAGAAAUCGUAUCUAGAGUGUAAAGGCAUAAGGAAGCUUGACUGUGAGACCUACAAGUCGAGCAGGGACGAAAGUCGGUCUUAGUGAUCUGACGGUGCUGAGUGGAAAGGCCGUCACUCAACGGAUAAAAGUUACUCUAGGAUAACAGGCUGAUCUCCCCCAAGAGUUCACAUCGACGGGGAGGUUUGGCACCUCGAUGUCGGCUCAUCGCAUCCUGGGGCGGUAGUACGUCCCAAGGGUUGGGCUGUUCGCCCAUGAAAGCGGUACGCGAGCUGGGUUCAGAACGUCGUGAGACAGUUCGGUCCAUAUCCGGUGUAGGCGUUAGAAUAUUGAGAGGAGCCUUCUUUAGUACGAGAGGACCGAGAAGGACAUACCUCUGGUGUACCAGUUAUCGUGCCAACGGUAAACGCUGGGUAGCCAUGUAUGGAGAGGAUAACCGCUGAAAGCAUCUAAGUGGGAAGCCCACCUCAAGAUAAG